GAAUAGUUGUUCUUGAAUUGUUUAGAUUCUCAUUACAUUUAUCUUCUCUUUCAACAGAUUAGUGAUCAUGAAGGGGGACCUCCAUACAAAGUAUCUACUACUGAUUAUGAAGAAGUGCUGCACCCAUUGGGGUUCGAGGCUACCUCUAUCGUGGAAAAUGAACUGGCUGUUUCACCUCGCAUGGGACGAGAGAAGCUUGCUAGGUGGAAAAGAUCAAUCUGUCUAUCAACUUUGUGAUGUCAUUUCACCAGAUAAGUCGAGGUGGUCUGAUUAGUUGUUUAAUUGUUUAGCAUAUAGAUUUGAUCCAUCGACUAAUGCAAUGGGAAGGAUUUUUAAAAUUGCCUUCUUGGCAUUCUUGAUGUAAGCUGGUUUUGUCCUUGUACUUGCCAAGAACGCAAAAGAAACCGAGGGGAAGAAAUGAAGAAAGAGAAAAUAUCAGACUCCCUGCGCACUCUAUAUUUCUCUGAGAUGGUUGGAAGACUGACUAUACAGGAUGUUCUGGUCCACCAUCUUCUAAUUUCCAUGAGCUUUGGUAAUGCCAUCCAGUCAAGAAUCAAAACUGUAAUACUCCAUGAUUUAGGUUUGUUGAAUUGCUUCCCAGAUUGAAACUCUGUUCAAUCUAAGUCUCUUUGUUGUUUCAUGCUAGUCUGGACAAACUUGUACAAGUCUGAGUUUGAGCAGCUUCUUUUGUGUGUACUCAUUGUAAUUUAUCCUUCUCUGUGCUUUGGCUACAUACAGGAGAUGGACAUUCUUGAUCUUACUUGAAUCACGUAUAAAA